GCUGUCUUAAGUGGACAGACGUUGGGAGAGAAUACAUUGAGGUCGUCAAGGGCGACCUCCAACGAUUGUUUGUGCUUGAUUUCAAUGAUCAAGCGAUGAACAGGUUUGUUGAGCAUCAGAUGCUCACGACCUUUAAAGAGUUCUGGACCGACUGUCAUAGACAUUUCAAAAAGUACAGCGACCCGGAGGAGGCUCGUGCCAACCCACCAAACGCAUUGGUUGGACGUGAUGAGGAUUGACACUUCCUCUGCGACCAUUAUAUUAGCCGUGCAUUCCAGGAGCAAUCACGGACGAACAAGGCUGCUAGACAGAAGCAGCCUUACAAUCAUAGUAGCGGGUCCAAGUCGUUUCUAUAACGACAAUAUGAGCUCGCUGAAAGAAAAGGGGAGCCGGUCGA